GUGAACGCUGGCGGUAGGCCUAACACAUGCAAGUCGCACGGCAGCACAGUAAGAGCUUGCUCUUACGGGUGGCGAGUGGCGGACGGGUGAGGAAUACAUCGGAAUCUACUUUUUCGUGGGGGAUAACGUAGGGAAACUUACGCUAAUACCGCAUACGACCUACGGGUGAAAGCAGGGGAUCUUCGGACCUUGCGCGAUUGAAUGAGCCGAUGUCGGAUUAGCUAGUUGGCGGGGUAAAGGCCCACCAUGGCGACGAUCCGUAGCUGGUCUGAGAGGAUGAUCAGCCACACUGGAACUGAGACACGGUCCAGACUCCUACGGGAGGCAGCAGUGGGGAAUAUUGGACAAUGGGCGCAAGCCUGAUCCAGCCAUACCGCGUGGGUGAAGAAGGCCUUCGGGUUGUAAAGCCCUUUUGUUGGGAAAGAAAAGCAGCAGGUUAAUACCCCGCUGUUCUGACGGUACCCAAAGAAUAAGCACCGGCUAACUUCGUG
rnacentral:rRNA from 1 species